GCUCCAUUAGUUCAGCGAUAGAACAGUAGACCCUAAACCUACGUGUCACAGGUUUGAAUCCUGUAUGGAGCA
rnacentral:tRNA from 1 species